rnacentral:rRNA from 1 species
GAUGAACGCUGGCGGCGUGCCUAAUACAUGCAAGUCGAGCGAACAGAUGAGGAGCUUGCUCCUCUGACGUUAGCGGCGGACGGGUGAGUAACACGUGGAUAACCUACCUAUAAGACUGGGAUAACUUCGGGAAACCGGAGCUAAUACCGGAUAAUAUAUUUAACCGCAUGGUUCAAUAGUGAAAGACGGUUUUGCUGUCACUUAUAGAUGUAUCCGCGCCGCAUUAGCUAGUUGGUAAGGUAACGGCUUACCAAGGCAACGAUGCGUAGCCGACCUGAGAGGGUGAUCGGCCACACUGGAACUGAGACACGGUCCAGACUCCUACGGGAGGCAGCAGUAGGGAAUCUUCCGCAAUGGGCGAAAGCCUGACGGAGCAACGCCGCGUGAGUGAUGAAGGUCUUCGGAUCGUAAAACUCUGUUAUUAGGGAAGAACAAAUGUGUAAGUAACUAUGCAUGUCUUGACGGUACCUAAUCAGAAAGCCACGGCUAACUACGUG